rnacentral:rRNA from 1 species
UACGGAGGGUGAAAACGUUGCUCGGAAUCAUUGGGCGUAAAGCGCACGUAGGCGGCCUGUUAAGUCGGGGGUGAAAGCCCUGGGCUCAACCCAGGAAGUGCACUCGAAACUGGCGGGCUUGAAUAUGGAAGAGGGUCGCGGAAUUCCCGGUGUAGAGGUGAAAUUCGUAGAUAUCGGGAGGAACACCAGUGGCGAAGGCGGCGACCUGGGCCAAUAUUGACGCUGAGGUGCGAAAGCGUGGGGAGCAAACAGG